AUACUUACCUGGCAGGGGAGAUACCAAGAUCAAAAAGGUGGUUUUCCCAGGGCGAGGCUUAUCCAUUGCACCCCGGAUGUGCUGACCUCUGCGAUUUCCCCAAAUGUGGGAAACUCGACUGCAUAAUUUAUGGUAGUGGGGACUGCGUUCGCGCUCUCCCCUG
rnacentral:snRNA from 1 species